rnacentral:rRNA from 1 species
UACGAAGGGGGCUAGCGUUGCUCGGAAUCACUGGGCGUAAAGGGUGCGUAGGCGGGUCUUUAAGUCAGGGGUGAAAUCCUGGAGCUCAACUCCAGAACUGCCUUUGAUACUGAAGAUCUUGAGUUCGGGAGAGGUGAGUGGAACUGCGAGUGUAGAGGUGAAAUUUCGUAGAUAUUCGCAAGAACACCAGUGGCGAAGGCGGCUCACUGGCCCGAUACUGACGCUGAGGCACGAAAGCGUGGGGAGCAAACAGGG